CCAACGAAUUUCUGCGCUCAUCCUUGAAUCGAGAUCGGCGCUUUCAAGAGCGGGUUCACAGCCUUUCGCUCGAGCUGUGCGUACAGAAUUAGCGUAACAUACGGAGAAAACUUCGCCGGCUGUUCUCCGGUUGAUUCGGAAAUGACAUACAGGUAGCAUGCGGAUAAAACGAUUUGACGGUUGAGACACGCGCAAUUGUCCUGCUCACUCAGACUCUGUUAACUGACAACAGCACUUCAAGGGCUGUCCGGUCCGGGCUUCUUGCGUUUUCGCAAUAGCUAGUUGAUGUUCAGAGGCAUCAGCGGCACAUACUUGUCGCUGGGACGGAAAUUGUAUUGGGAGCACAAGCGGUUCGACUCGGACUCGGCGUAUCCGUUCCUGAAACAAAUGAAACUCGUCACAGAAAGCACCGAGGGUCCCCAAAUCCCACCACCACCAGCGGCGUAAAUAAACCAACACCAAAAUCGACGCCAACACCCUGCAGAAAUUUGAUCUUUAGAAGAUUACUACAGUUUCAUGAAGCUCCGCCGAGAUGAUAUUGCUGUUUCUGUUUAAGGCCCUCGCGCAAUGCUCUCAGGAACGUCUUCAGGAAUAGAAUCUUUUUGGUGUGGAAGUCUCGCGGUACCGGUGCCUCGAACUUUGCCGAGUUCUCCCACUCCAACGGGCAACUAAAGGAUGUCCCGCGUAAGAAUCGUUAAGAAUUUCUUGCGAUCGAUGCAGGCAAUUUUUAUUUCACAUAAAAGUUCGCGGUGUCUACUAAUCGAUGAUAAAAUUGGCCGAACGAUACGCCAUGGUUGAACGCCAGCGAUACGAGAAAAGUAGUCUUACCUCUGCCAUUGGGAGCACGGGCGUCUCUCUUUGAAGCAGGUGACCUGUAUUACAUUGAAGAAGAGAGCGCCGAGGGUGUUCGCUACCUCCGAGUUCAGGUUUUGUAGACAUCUGCGGAACUUGGCGUCGCAGUCGCAAUGGGAUCUGGUGAACGGCGAAUUGUUACAAAUCCCGUGGAUGCACUCUUGCGGGCCGAGCGUGACCGGGCAAUGAUCGUGUUCUCUGCAACAGGCGUCUUCCGACGCGUGUUUUCCCAACUCGUCGUACGACGUGGCCAAAGUACCCGGUCCGCACCAUUUUGUUCCCGGAUAGAUUAGUCCACCGCCUGCGGGCUGGUUCUGUCGACAAUUUAUUCGUUUCAGUCGUUUACCGAUUAUCGUUAUAUUGUUCAUGUUUCACUAUCGUUUUACCCUAUUUACUCUUCCUUGUCAAUUGAUCUCUCUCUUUGAAUCUUACUUCCGAUCAAAGAUCGGUCACUCGAAGCCAAGAAAGAAAGAAAGAAAGAGAGAAAUCGGUAAUCUCGUUCAAGGAAUAAUCUCGUAAACAUAAUCAUAAAACACAAUCUCGUAAACAUAAUCUCGUUAACGAUCGAAGCGAACAGUCGAAUUCGGAGAACGCGGCGCGAUGAAGCGAGAGAACGUCCCGAUCGAGCAAUUUGCGCGAAAGGAGCUUGACGCGAUGGGUUUCAGAGGCUGAUGUGCAGGGUAACGCUGUUAUAUUCGACUCGAAUCGGAAGGACGUUGGUUGCGUCACAGUCAGAUCAACUCGUUACGACGUUACCGCGUAAAAUGAUUUUACAGAUCGCCGAUGAACAUUCAGGGAGACCGACCGUUUUCGUUUAGAGUUCAAGAGCAGCAGCCUGCGGUGUUAAGAGAAUGUACGCGAAUAAGCGUUGAACAACGGGUGGGACAAAUAUUAUGAUAUUACGAGAUCGCGGAGAGACAGUGGAGAGGCAAGCGGGAUUCGUGUCUCUGAAAUGUUAAUCGGUUUUACGAAGGUGUCCGCGUCCGAGUCGAAGAUCUGACUGUGCGAGCAAGGCCACGCUCUACCUUUCCCUUGUCCCGGGAGGCUUUGCAAGUUUCUUCGAGGUCGGCGACCAGGUUGCUGGACAUUUGCCGAACUUUCUUAGGGUCGGCGCCGAGCACCAUCCUCUGUAUGACGCCGCGGUCGGUGUACAGGGCGCAGAACGGCGCAUCCGUUUUCAGUUCAACCAUCCUAGACAUAGCCAUGUCUGCCACUAGAACGCUGCCCUCGGCUUCGUGGCUCCAGAUCGUUGCCGCGAGCAGUACCGCUAUCGCCAGCAUCUGCAAAAUCGAAUCGACAAUGUUAGAACAGCAAGAUUCAAUAAUCUCCUUGAUCGAAAAUUCGCUAAAACCAUGCUAAUCGCGUUCAUUGCCGUUCAGCGACGGUCAUCAAUUACAUCACUCGGCGAUCCUUUCUACACGGUUCGAGUGGAAAGACCUCGGUUUUAUUUGGAAACUUCCUAUCGCAUCCAACAAGAAUUUCGGAUUCCAUCGAUCUAUCGGGGCAAGGAUCACCGACAGGCGCGUUAAUAUAUUGAAUGAGGACACUCGGUCAACGAUUCGCAGAUGUUGCACAAUGUUUGAACCCCAUCGCGUCGACUCCACAAAUAUGUAUCGACAUCGAUGGUACUCUUUCGGUUAAACACGCCGAGACGAUGCAUUUUACCGAUUCCGAGCAUACCAUUUGUUUAGCCGGCUAGCCAAAGAUGUUUUAACGUUGAAAUUGUUGUCAACAAUUCCGAACCCAGCUUUUAGCAUAUAGGGGGUUUGCUUCGUAUCGGAUCUCUUUACGGCAAUUUAUUUAGCGUUCGGAGUAAAAAUAGACCCAUGGAAAUCUACCGGAGGGUCCAUUUCCAUGCUGCCGUGUCCCCACGAAGGUCCAAGGGGACCUUCCCUUCCAGGACCCAGGGAGCUCUAAUGAGAACAGAUUGCAUUACGUGACAGGGCAGUAUGGGUUUUUCUUUGUUAAUCUAUCGUUAAUCUAUCGUUUCGACACACGUCAGUCCGCCGGCUUGCAGACACAGAUUGCCCUGCAGGAAUUCCGGUCGCUUUAACAAGCCAACCGGGGGAUGGGGGGGGGAGGGUAGAUCGAUUAAAGCGAGUCGAACGAUUCGUCGUACCUGUGCUCGACAAGACGAAAUAGGUUUUUAACGAAACAAGAGGAUCCAGAAUGCGUUCGAACCGAAUUAAACUUGCCACUCGAUGGCCUAUCGAUAGCCAAGGAAAUCUCGGUCGCCUCGAAUUUCUACCCUCUAUCUUUCCAUCUAGAUACACCCCUGCCCGUAAAUAACCAGACAUUUACUUAUUUCACUGAUCGGGAAUUUAGACUGUCGGUUUCUUCAGAGCUGUCUUACGCAGGAUGGAAUCUCCGACCGAUGAUGCGUUCAAAUUUCGAACGACUCGCCUCAAGGCGACCAAACGGUAGAUACAACUUAGAUAUCGAUCGCGCGGUUGUCCUUGCAGGUAUAAGCAAGUUUUUUAAAAUUAAUUCAUGGAAACGAUCGUGCUAAUGAUGCCGCUGUACGAUUCCAUUAUUAGCAUAAUCCUUCGUUUCAGUGUCAAGACUCGAGUAACACGGUUUUUGCUCGUUCUACGCUCUGUUCUCGCAUUUCCUGUAACGUUGUUCACAUUGCAAAAUGCAAAGCAACGCGAACAAACGCUGGGAGAUCUCGUUAUUUAAUAAGUUUAAUAAGUUUCCUUGGUUGGUUACUGUCGUCGUUAUUCGUUCCCUUCGUAGUGAAAAGUAUAGAAAUGCUUACGGCUUGUUCAGGAAAAUAGACACAAAUUGGAAGACACUGUUCGGCCCAAGAUCGAAUCUCUUCAGGAUUCACCGGACUCCGAGCCGGAAGAUGAACAGGUAGAAGAAAUCAAGAAACCAAGUUCACAGAAACUCCGCGGAAUUGCCGAUGUAUCGUCUCGCUUGUCUUUCCGAAGAUUGCAAGUUGAACGAAUUCGAAGUGUCCGAGACUCGUGAAACGAAGAAAACUCGCGUAGGAACCCCCGAACCAAUGACUCGGAGGCUCGCGAACCGACUGAUGCUCGUUUCACUUCUCCCGAGAACCGUCUCCAAAGGUCAGAUCGAUUCAAGGUCGCCGGGAGAUAAGAAACAAAGGCCAAAGACAUCGCUCCGGUUGUCCUUCCUUCGAGUCGGAGCCGAAAUCGGCGUCUAUUGCGCGACGAAUGAAUCGCGAAUAAACAGUCUGCAACCCGAAGGAUCUCGAGUGUUGCGUUUUUUGAGCAGAUUGCGCAAGAUGAAACGCGAGGUGCCGAAAAACUCGAAAGGGGAACCGUUUAUGGUCCGCUCGACAGCAAUAAGCCUUUUGGCUGUACGUACGAAGAAGACUAAGAGACACCGAAAGAAACGAGCUCUCGCUAUUGAUAAACACGGCUGGAAAUGAAGACGAUUGUUUCGGUUGUUGAUCUCUCUGACGCAAUUUCGAGCAACAGGUGACACGUACUGGUGAUACAGAACGAAAUCCCACUGGAAUGUCUACUAAAAAUAAGAAGUAUGCGAAACAUUUGAUGCAACGAAUCUCUUGCAAGACUAGGACAAACGCUUUCUCUUUAUCUUGUAACAAACACCUCAACUGUUUGAACAAACGAUCGCGAAGAGUGCUUGAUAAACGAGGGACGUUGUCGAGUCUUGAUCGAGGGACUUUCAGAUGAGACAAUCAGAUCGAGCAGAGUGUUUCAGUCCGAUGCGAGAGGCUGGUCUUGAAAAGAUUGCGCGAAAUGAAAGCGGAGAUCGAGAAUCUGGCACACGAGGCCUCAUCGACGAACUUGUCUCUUGAACCUGUCAAUUACAUUGACCGAACAACCCUAUCUAAUCAACGCGGUGACUCUGACCCACCUUCGUCGCACGUUUCACACGCGUCCCGCGUCGGCCCGAGGACCGGUCAUUACGAAUUAUUAUCGCUCGCACCGCUCUCCACGCAGUCAUCGUUCACGCUCGAUUCUGUAUUAAACAUUACCGCCGAAUAUUCCACAGUUCUUUUAAAUCGAAGCAUUUUUCGUAGUGCAAUCGGAUGAUCUCGUUUAGAAUCAAUACUUGAAAGAACGUUUCCAAGCUUCAUUGACAAUCCUUUUGCGGUUGAGGAUCAACGGAUAACACCUUAUUGGCGAUAGAAUCGAUUUGCAAGUAUUCGGAAACCGUGGCGAACGAACGCGAGAAACAAACGAGCGCCUUGAAGAACCAAUCCACUGCACGAGAUACAUGCAAAGCGAUCAAUUAACGCAUUCGCUACAGCCAUUCACUCGGUAGCCGUUCGAUCUUCAUACGGAAAUACUAGAAUGAAGUAAACAAAUUGUAUGAAAAUUGCAACUCAGACUUGCAAUUCAGGCAGUGAACGGGUUCAACUAGUACCUGCGUCUUGUCGGAGGUCUCAAGAAUAGAAGAUCGAGCAAAUCACACAGUUCAUGGAACCGGAAAAAUGUCUUAAUAAUAACGCAAACACCGGGUAAAUGUCGUCCAGUAAAAGAGCCGCGAUAGGCCGUUACGAGGUAUCGCGAGACGUCUAUUAUCAAAUUAACGGUAAGACGGUUCGAGUGAAAAAUAUGAGAAAAUCGAUCAAAUUACUCUGAUAGAGAAUCGUUGAGGCGCGCUGCCGGAUACGACGGUGUAUCGACGGUGUACCAAUGCGUCGGACACUGCGCCCGCCUGUGGUCUGUGUUCUCGACGACUGUCGAGGGAGGAAAGGACACGCGAUCCGCGAUCCUACUCGGAAUCGAAUCUGCAGCGGAUUGACAACAAACCAACGAAAUGACGCGAAGCUAGCUCACUAACAGGAAGGCCGAGGUGGACGAGUUCGCCAGCUGCUGGCAGCCUUACCACCAUCGUCGACCACCACCACCACCACCCUCGCGACUUCUGCGCACCCACCCCCCAACGACUGCAACGCGACUCGGGCUGCUGCAGUGCGCAACAACCCUCCGGAUGCUGUGUUCGAACAAAUUUAUCGGCAACGUUCCUACGAAAGUUCAAUGGAGCAUCAGGACAUGUUGUUCAGACAAUUUUUCAGCAAGGAUAAUGUGAAUGACGAUAGUGGGUCAUUACAAAACGAGAGAGGUAGAAAAAAGGCAGAUUGACGUACGCUAAUAAACUAGACAAAUUUUUAUUUCGUA